rnacentral:tRNA from 1 species
GGUCGGUGUAGAGCGGGCUGGCGUCGCCGAUCGCGGCGGCGAACUCGCGGAUCUUCUCGCGGCCGACUUC